AUUUACGGUAAUAAAUACUUACGUCACGAGUUGAACGGAAGUGUGAUUACGCACCCAUCUCUUACUUGAAUUUUUUUUUGCCUUAAUCGAUCUCUUACAUAUGCCAAAUUUGGCCAAUAUCAACAUUUGCCAUAGUGUAAGAAUUUUUUAUUAAUGUAUUAUUUAUUGCACAUUGGCUAGCUACAUAAUUGUAACAUAUUUACUUAAUAACAGAGAAUACUGGGCUGGACAAGAUGGCCAGCUGCAAUUUUCAGGCGCAGUUGGUAUCCGUUAUGGAGGUAUUAGCUAAAGCAGCGGUAGCAGAAAUAAACAAACGUGUAGAUGAUAGCUGUGCUGUUAUACGUUUGGAAAUGACCCAAAGCCAGCGAGAUAUUGAUGUACUGAAAAGGAAGUGGCAAAUGAUGGAGAGCGAGUUGAAGAAGACACGAGGACGAGUCAGAAGAAAAGUUUUUUACCCCGUGGCAUCAGAGAGAUCUUCAUAUCCAGUCAAGAUUGUUUUGAACAAGCAGAGGAGUAACUCACAGUGGAGAGAAGAAGAGCUGGCUGUUGAAGAGGACUCUCUACCCCAGCCUACAGAUGUGGAGCAGAGAGUGGAGACUGAACCCAUACUGAUCAAAGAUGAGGAGACAGCAGAGGAUGUGUGGAAGACUGACCCUCAGGAAGAGCUCAGGAUCACUGGAGAGGGUGGGUGUGACCAUAAGGGGCACUGCUCUGUCUGUCUAUGGAAGACUGUGAGGGUGUGGUGGUAUGCACGUUCCAAAUUGCUACAUUGGUGUCGGGUGCUUCAUGUUCUGGCGUAUGGAGUGCACGUACACA
rnacentral:lncRNA from 1 species